UAUUACAAUAUGAUUAGAGCUAUUAAGCUGAUUAUUGAUGUAAAAAGUUUCAGACUUUAGCGAGGAAUGAAAACUUUCUAUCGGGGCGUUAUCAGCAG
rfam:Staphylococcus phage SPbeta-like, complete genome.